GCGACGGGCGCGGUGGCACGUGCUCUGUGACUUCCCCGCUCCGUGUUCCCCUAAGCGCCUAUCGCGUCUAUCAGUGAUCGGGUUCGUUUCGGACGUUAACGCGCGAGGAAAUUCAUUCGCCGCCUGCGUCCGGCUCGGUGUUACCCCACGAUCAACUGCCGCUGAGUUUUUCAUCAGCCGUUAAUGAGAUCGUGACGGGAGUGCUGGCUUCGAGUCACCGAACGGCAGUACGUGCGAAAUAUAACGUAGACAAAUUUGUCAUGGACUUAUGGUACAUUUCGAAUGGCUGAGGAAACGUGCCGCGACAGGAUCGUGUCAGCGAAGACGCGAGUCGCGCUUGCGAGUGUAAACAUUGUUACGUGCCGCGCGGUAACUUGCCACGACCAAGUACGGAACUGUUAUCCCGGGCCGUUCGUCGAUCGAGGAUAGUUUAUCGCCUGGAACCGUCCGAUGCUGGUGUCCGCGUACCAUCGUGGACCCUAUUCGGUGUGCAAGAAGCGUUCGAACAGUGUUUGAAGUGACCGUUGACCGUCGAGCACGAGGUGUCACCGACGGUUCUCGUUUUCGUGUGUCGUGCCGAGGGAGGAGAAACCGACAAGACCACGCGCUCGCUCGCGCGGAAACCGUGCUGCGCCACGCGCGUCAACUGGAAAGUGAAAAGAGUGUUGGUGCAUCGCGUUUCGCCGCGGGACAUUACGGGCGGAGGCGGUCGUUCAGUGCACGCAGCGUUCACCGUUGAUCGUGUGUACGAUCCUCUUCCACGCGUGUAGCGUCCGUUUCGUGAUAGUCCUGAUCGCAGGACCCCAAUGCCAAAGGAUAGCAGACGAGAACACGAAGAGACCGAGUAAACGAGUGAACUAGAAGAAUCUCUGUUCAAGAAGCCAGCAGCUAAGAUUCGUCUGAAGAAGUCAGGAACGUCGAC